AUUGAACGCUGGCGGCAGGCCUAACACAUGCAAGUCGAGCGAGCGGCGGACGGGUGAGUAAUGUCUGGGAAACUGCCUGAUGGAGGGGGGUAACUACUGGAAACGGUAGCUAAUACCGCAUACCAUCAGAAGUGCCCAGAUGGGAUUGGCUAGUAGGUGGGGUAACGGCUCACCUAGGCGAAGAUCCCUAGCUGGUCUGAGAGGAUGACCAGCCACACUGGAACUGAGACACGGUCCAGACGCCUACGGGAGGCAGCAGUGGGUAAUAUUGCACAAUGGGCGCAAGCCUGAUGCAGCCAUGCCGCGUGUGUGAAGAAGGCCUUCGGGUUGUAAAGCACUUUCAGCGGGGAGGCGUUACCCGCAGAAGAAGCACCGGCUAACUCCGUGCCAGCAGCCGCGGUAAUAC
rnacentral:rRNA from 1 species